CUCCCUCCGCCGUUGCUCGCCUACGUGAGGUGUUCGACGGAAAAUUCCCUUCAACGACGGCAUCACGUGGGCGACCAUGGUGUCUGCAUCCCGCCAGUUAGCGCCCUCCAUAUGCCUGGACGUUGGUCUGAACCUUCUGGCCGGCUACAUAAGCAAGCACUCAGGCAGCUGGAUGGAUUCCGGGCACACAGCUUGCCGUGAACCUUAAAUUGCUGCUCCAACAGGCAGCAAACCAAUCAUUUGAUAUUUAAGGGACAGCAGUCAGCAGGCGCUUUGAGGAAGCACUGGUGUCGGCAAAUAAAAGAAUGCUUUAGGUAUACCUAUUUACCCUUUUCAAUUGGUUUGAUGCCAUCCGUAUGUGAUUCACCGACCAAGAAUGGAAAAAUUCCUUGCUAUUAGAAAUUUCUAUGGUGGUGCUUCUUUAGGUUCCGCCUGAAAAAUG